AGUGAACGCUGGCGGUAGGCCUAACACAUGCAAGUCGAACGGCAGCACAGUAAGAGCUUGCUCUUACGGGUGGCGAGUGGCGGACGGGUGAGGAAUACAUCGGAAUCUACUUUUUCGUGGGGGAUAACGUAGGGAAACUUACGCUAAUACCGCAUACGACCUACGGGUGAAAGCAGGGGAUCUUCGGACCUUGCGCGAUUGAAUGAGCCGAUGUCGGAUUAGCUAGUUGGCGGGGUAAAGGCCCACCAAGGCGACGAUCCGUAGCUGGUCUGAGAGGAUGAUCAGCAACACUGGAACUGAGACACGGUCCAGACUCCUACGGGAGGCAGCAGUGGGGAAUAUUGGACAAGGGGCGAAAGCCUGAUCCAGCCAGACCGCGUGGGUGAAGAAGGCCUUCGGGUUGUAAAGCCCUUUUGUUGGGAAAGAAAAGCAGCAGGUUAAUACCCCGCUGUUCUGACGGUACCCAAAGAAUAAGCACCGGCUAACUUCGU
rnacentral:rRNA from 1 species